CGGCUGUUGGCCUCUCUCCUUCCUAUUUUUGUGGAUCGUCUUCCCGUGGUAUCCAUUACCUUCUGGUUGAUUCGGUCAGGCAGGGGCUGGUCAAAGCAGUGCCCCCAUCUCUCUUCCUCCCUAUUGCCGCCUCCCACAAAAUUCCCUAGGCCCGGCCUCCUCUUUCCUCUCGCUGCCGUGGCAUCUACCGGCGCGGCUGACGGCGUGGGGGAUGGCUGACGGCGUGGAGGAGGAGUUCAGGUCAGUCCACUCCUUUCCGACGCAGAUGGCGGCGUGUGGGCGCCAGUGGGGAUCUUGAACUGCAGGAUUCGAGGCUAGAUAGAGGCCAUGCCGACCCAUUGAGAGACGUCAUGUCUAGCAGGAUGUUGGCGUGCGGGUCUUCUCCCCUGCCUCAUGCGGAUCUUCUCCCCCUUCCCUCUUACUAAUUUCUCUUUUUUGAUCUGUUCAUGAGCUUAGGUUAUUCUUUUCCCUUCAUAUUUUUGAUUCCUUUUUUGUUUGUAUCUUUUUUGUUUCCCCAGGUUGUUGUUUCGAGGCUAGACAGGGGCGCUACCGAGCAGUCCGUUUCUCUCUUACUAAUUCUCUUUUUUUCGAUCUGUUCAUCAGCCUAGGGAAACCAACAGGUUAGAUAUGCAACCAUACUUGGUUAAAGAGAUUUGCCGCCUAGAGGGUUUGAACGGAAAAGCAUAAUGUGUGUCCCCCCGGAUCUAGGAGUACAUGCCUAUGGGGAUCAAUCUACCUGGCAAAAAGUGUUAGAGUUGGACUUCAUUAUUAUUACCGAGAGGGCAACACAAUGGAAGGCUGUGUACCACCCAAUCGAAUAUACAAAUUCAGAGAACAACUAAGGGAAGGUUCUAUCUACAGGUUUGAGUCUUUUAUUGUUGCUGCAGCAUGGAACAAAUACAAGACAGCCAAUCAUCCCUACAGGAUCAAGAUUACUCAACGCACAAAGGUCAUCGAAGCAAUUCCGGAUUCUGAAAUUUUUUCCUUUGUUCCCGUAUAAUGCGAAUCAUUUGAUGUUCUGUAGUCACGCGAAUCGUUUGCUAUUCUGUAGUCAUGCGCAGGGGACAACACCUUUCUAUCAGAUGUUUCUGUACUGGUGACCAUUGUUAAUGAAUAUCACUCGGUCGAAUACGAAUCAAGAGCCAAGGAGGACCUUUCUAUCAGAUGUUGAUGUACUGGUGACCAUUGUUAAUGAAUAUAACUCGGUCGAAUACAAAUCAAGAGCCAAGGUGGCAUAUUCUCUUAAAAGAUGCUAGGUGGUGGAAAUGUGUCGUUGAUGUUUUAAGUCCAUUGUUGCCCAGUGCACAGCAUGCCUCCAGUGAUCUUGCAUCGUAAUAAUUUAUAGAACAAGGUGUCACAAAGGAAGUGGACACUCAGUGGGUUCGAUCGAAGAGAAGUUUGUGCUGGGUUUCCUGAGCUGAUUGGGGUGCGUCUCCUUCGGUCGGUAAAAGGAGUAAUUUACAAGUUUAAACUAAAAAGGUGAAUGCAUCUUUGACCUAUAAAUAUUUGGCUCCUGCUUCUCACUACUAAACAGAAGAUGUUGACAUAUCCAGUCUUUUUUGUGCGUUAGCAGUAGUAAGAGCAGGUGUGUAGUGGUGCUUGAUACAUAUUAUAGUCCUAAUAACAAAAUUGGUUAUUGUACAUAUUGCACUGCUAUUCGUUUUAACUUAAAAUGUGGCUCGAACCAUAUUCACUAAAACAACUGCAUGAAUGCACUUUUCCAUUUACCAUUCUCAAAAUGCUUUUGUUUGGUUAUAUUUUAAGGAAACUCGCUAUUGGGCUUCCUUCACUAUCAGUGUUCCGGACUAGAUCAAAUAUGAGAUGAAUCAGAUCAAUCGGGGAAAAUAUUGGAUGAUCUUAGUCUUAACAUGAUACUUUUCUACCACUUCUUGGGUACUAUAUUUAUAAGCUUCUAAUUUUUGUUCCAUUGGUUGGAAGGAAGUGGCCGUGGUGAGUCCAAUGGAGGGGCAGUUCAGGCCGGGUUUCAUGUUGUUGGUUGUUCUCCUUUUGCUGAUCUUUUUUCCUUAGUUGAUUGGUAUGCAACCUACCGAUUUUGCCUCAUUCUAAGAACUCUGGUAUAUGUAGAUCAUUCGACCGCAGAAACAGUAGGCUUCGGUUAGAUGAAGGACCUAUGUAGUCAGUACUUUUUUUCUUUGUACAGUCAGUGUGCUAAAAACUGCCACUGCAUAGUGUUCUACUGUAUAUAUGUGUUGUUGUAUAUAAUUGCAGUCAAUGAAUAUAUAAGAGAAUGUUGCUUUUGUUUCA